CUCACAGGUAGUAUACCAGAUAUCUUUUCUGGAUUAACCUCUAUUGUAAUUCUUUAUCUCUCGCAUAAUAAAUUCUCCGGGAAUAUUCCGAAAAGCCUAUCGUAUCUUAAACCGAUCAACGUCGACUUGAGCCACAAUGCUUUAAUAGGGCAAAUACCAGACAUCUCGUCAAACAGUUUCAAUGCAAUAAACGGACUUAACCUCUCAUGGAACCAGCUUUCUGGGGUUAUCCCUGAAAAUUUUGCGAAAUUCACCCAAAUAACCCUUCUUGAUUUUUCUCAUAAUAAGCUAAAUGGUUCUUUACCUGAAAUGAGAAUGGCGAGAAGUAUGCACGCUUUGGACUUUUCAUACAACGAUUACCGUUUUGGGAAAAUCCCAAAAUGGAUUGGUAACACAUCGACCAACAUUCUAGGGCUUGCGAAAUGUGGGAUCAAGAUGAAGUUGAAUGAUUGGAAACCGACGGUGAUUUAUGGCAAUGUGUAUCUUUCGGAGAAUGAAUUAACGGGAAACCCACUUCAAUUCUUGAUUAGCCAGAAUACGUAUCUGAUGGGGUUUUGGGCGUUGGGUAAUAAGUUGAAAUUUGAUAUGAAACACUUGAAGCUUGGGAAGAAGAUGGUCAACUUGGAUCUUUCGAACAACUUGGUGUAUGGAAAUGUGCCCAAGACUGUUUCGAGGCUUCAAGAGUUGAACGUCAGCCACAACCAUCUGUGCGGUCAGCUUCCGGCCACAAAGUUUCCGGCAACUGCUUUUCUUGGGAAUGACUGUCUGUGUGGAGCUCCACUACCACCCUGCAAAUCUUAAUCAGCAAAGUUUCUAGGAAAUAAGCUCGUUUGAUUUCCUAGGAUAUUUGUGUUAUUAAGGAUUCCCCUUUACCAUUUGAUUUUUUUCUUGUCUUUUUAUUUAAUCUAGCAAUAAAUCUGUGGAAAACCAAGAAUGUUAUGUACCAUAAUAUAUCGUAUAUGUUUAUUGUCCAUAUUUAUGCAACUGUUUUCAAGGGUCGCCACCCGUUCCUUGAUAAAGUUUAAAGAAAUAGAUUUUGAAGGAUCAGCUCUAAUCAUCUGCUCAAUUUGUUUCUGCACAAAAUAGUUUGACAUUCGUAAUAUAAUAACAAAAAGGCAGAUGAGAUUAACCCGAGUUGACGCAUCUUGACAUAAUUGAUCAUUCUUAACUGUCAAAUCAGAUAUUAAUCGUUCGCAGCAGCCGAUAAUCUUUGGAUCCGGCGCCGGUGCGUACUUCUUAUUGACUUUGACUCUGAAAACCUUCAAUUUUUUUUAUUUUCCUCCGUGUCAUGACGAUAAGGAUGUAAGCGAUGCUUAGUUAUAUCUAUAUUUUAUUAUGAAUGAAAAUAAUAGAAAAAAGGACUUGCAUAAUCUCUAUGCUUUAAACUUGACAGAUCAUGCAAUUAAUUAUUCACCAUGUAAGCAAAAGUCUGCGUGCACUAGAAACGUGCAAUUUUCUUAGAAUACAAGUGACAACUUGAGCCGUUCGAUAAUUAUAUAUUUAUACAUACUCUGCGAAACUUCCCAUGCACCAACGUACCUCCCAUAGUAACGUGAAAUUUUCUUAGGAUACAAGUAAAUAGUAAUAACUAACCUGGGCCAUUUAAAGCUCAAGAGCCUUAUAAAUACCCAAGCUUGGCUAAGGCAAUUUUCACCUCUUGUUUCCUCCUUAUACAAACACAAUGCCCUCUCCUUCCAAUUUUCCCCUCCUUCUUUUCCUACUAUUCAACCUAUUCAUCCACCACCAAUCUCUCGCCGCCACCAAGAAACGAUGCCACGUGGACGACGAAAAGGGUUUACUAGCAUUCAAGUCCGGCAUAAAAUCCGACCAAUCGGGAUUGCUCAACUCAUGGAAGCGUGGUACAGAUUGCUGUAAAUGGUAUGGGAUAACAUGCAAUCCCAAAUCCAGUAACCGUGUCACUGUAAUAGAUCUCUAUGGUUGGCCCUCCGAUGGCACAAACAUCCUAGCGGGCCCCAUUUCGCCCUCACUCUCGAAACUCCACUCCUUGGAGUCUCUCAAGUUCGCCCACCUCGGAAACUUAACAGGCCCCUUCCCUGAUUUCCUCUUAGCUAUGCCAAAUAUCACCACUAUAGUCAUUUCAGAUAGCAAAUUAUCUGGUCCUAUACCUAGAAAUAUAGUCAACCUAGUCAAACUCGAAAGGUUGGAACUUGAGGGGAACCGAUUUACCGGAACUAUACCGAGCCUGGGAAAAUCGACAAGUUUAAUCCAUCUCAACCUCGGAAAUAAUCGUCUCUCCGGUGGCAUUCCGAUCAGUUUCCGGCGGUUGAGGAAGCUUAUCUGGCUGGAGUUGAGCUGGAACCAGCUCACAGGUAGUAUACCAGAUAUCUUUUCUGGAUUAACCUCUGUUGAAAUUCUUUAUCUCCAACAUAAUAAAUUUUCUGGGAAUAUUCCGAAAAGCCUAUCGUAUCUUAAACCAAUCAACGUGGAUCUCAGCCACAAUGCCCUAACAGGGCAGAUACCAGACAUUUCGUCGAACAGGUUCAAUGCAAUAAACGACCUUAACCUUUCGUGGAACCACCUCUCUGGGGUUAUCCCUGAAAAUUUUGCGAAAUUCACUCAAAUCACUGUUCUCGAUUUUUCUCACAAUGAGCUAAACGGUUCUUUACCUGAAAUGAGAUUGGAGAGAAGUAUGUACGCUUUGGAUUUGUCGUACAACAAUUACCAUUUUGGGGAAAUCCCGGAAUGGAUUGGUAAUACAUCGGCGAUGAUUCUAGGGCUUGUGAAAUGCGGGAUCAAGAUGAGGUUGAAUGAUUGGAAACCGA
rnacentral:lncRNA from 1 species